AAACAUGAAUGAGUAAGAGCAUCAACAACGCGGACGCUUAACCCGGUUGCUUAGUGUUUUUAGGUUAAAAAGAAAAAGAAAAUUGUGUAAUUAAAUAAGACGCGCUGCUUAAUUAAGCUUCACAAGCAGCGUUGCUUAUGUAACACGUGUCAAACAAUCACCGUUCUUCCUCUCUCUCGACGAAAUCGUCCGAUGCUGCUCUCUCUUUUCUCGAUCACACGUCUCGAAGCCGGAGACCUCCGACGGAGUUGUGUCGCGACCUGCUCGGACCUUGUUUCAGGCUGUCUUUGACUGCCUUCGGACUUCUCCUACCGCUCUCUCUUUUCUCGUCACUGCAUAAACCCUAGCUUUGUGGAUUCAAUUCGUUAUCAUGGAUCAACAGCCAGAACCAGUUACUUACGUAUGUGGAGUAGGUCAUUCAACAACCGUCUAGUGUCUGGGUACAUUAUCAGGUAGUGAACCUGCAGAAGCUCUUAUUAGAAGAAAAGUGUGGACGAAAUGGCCUGAGGACAACAACUUUUAUGAAGCAGUAAUUACACAAUACAGUGCAGUUGAGGUAUGACUUCCUAUGCGCUGCUGAGACUUUUACAUCGAGAGACUGAUCAACUUGGUCUUGUUCAAACCGUUUUUGUUGCUUGGUCUUGUUCAAGCUCAGGAUUGGUCUUGUUCAAGCCGUUAUUGUUGCUGGUACUAGGAGCUUUUGCUAUUAUUGGUCUUGUUCAAGCUUAGGAUCAACAAGGUAUCCAUUUCUUAUCUUAAUGUUUUGUCUUGAAAUACUUCUACUCUUUAUGAUUCAUGUCUCUUGUCAUGACUACGAUGGUCUUACUUGUAUUCUUGUGAACUCUUGUAGAAUGUGCUUGAAAUGUUUUGUGUUUCAAUGUUUAAUUUUUUUUAAGAACCCCUAAAUAAAAUACUUGCAUUGGAGGACAA